UCUGGUGACCAGAGCGUGGUGGAACCACCCGGUCCCAUUCCGAACCCGGAAGUGAAACGCCACAGCGCCAAUGGUAGUGGGACGAUAGGUCCUGUGCCCGGAAGUGAAACGCCACAGCGCCAAUGGUAGUGGGACGAUAGGUCCUGUGAGAGUAGGUCGUCGCCAGGU
rnacentral:rRNA from 1 species